GGAUUAGAUACCCUGGUAGUCCACGCCGUAAACGGUGAGUGCUCGUCGUCGUGGGUAUUGACCCCUGCGGUGACCAAGUUAACGCAUGAAGCACUCCGCCUGGGAAGUACGGUCGCAAGACUAAAACUCAAAGAAAUUGACGGGGGCCCGCACAAGCGGUGGAGCAUGUUGUUUAAUUCGAAGCAACGCGCAGAACCUUACCUGGAUUUGACAUCUCGGGAAUCUUCCUGAAAAGGAAGAGUGCCUUCGGGAACCCGAUGACAGGUGCUGCAUGGCUGUCGUCAGCUCGUGCCG
rnacentral:rRNA from 1 species